rfam:Capsella rubella cultivar Monte Gargano unplaced genomic scaffold scaffold_5, whole genome shotgun sequence.
GAGUCCCUUUGAUAUUGGCCUGGUUCACUCAGAUCUUCCUGCUGACCACUAUACUCGUACAUAUACCAAAAAAAAAAAAACAUUCUCUAGAUUAUCUGAUUGAGCCGCGCCAAUAUCCCAGUGCUCUCU